GCUCUUUGGCCUGUCGGCAAAGUAGUAACCAUAUACCCUGGAUCAGAUGGCAAUGUCCGUUCUGCAGAAAUUGAAGUAAAAAACAAGCACUACCAUCGACCAGUGUCUCGUCUUAUCACACUGCCCGCCAUUCCAGAUAAUGACCCUGCAACAGACUAAACAAGGAGGUUAGAAAUUACAUUUGCACAGCAAAUGUAGGGGCGGCUGUAGAAAAGUAAAGUCAACUGCACCAUCUGCUGGACACUCUUGGGUAUCCAGGUUAACAAGCAUCCAGGCCACCGUAGUUAUCAUGCACUGAUCACGCGACAGGGCAGCCAAUCAAAUCACUGUGUUAUCGGAGAACCUUUAAGCUUCGUUUUGCAUGGUCAGAAAGAGAUGGUUUGUGUCGUUUUCUCCUGAUUCCUGUCAAAGUCGUGUGCGUUAAUGACCAAAAACCACAAAUACACACUCAUGCCUAUAUCCAUAUGACCAUGCACAAGUUUGUAUAGAGCAAUGCCAACAUACCAAUGUAACCGGCAAACUUGAUGGAUAUUAAAGUAACCAAACUGGAAUUCCUGUCUCCGUGUCCUUACCGACACUCCAUGGCGAUGACCAAGAAUUAUACCUAAGAAUCAGCACACCUUCCCUUCA